CUUCCUUGAUCCAAAGACCACAUCUAAGAUCCAUGUACUUGGCAACAAGUAUCAAAGCAAAUUGCUAGAAGUGAUUGAUGCUAGUGAGUUGCCAGAGUUUUUAGGAGGUACUUGUACCUGUGCUGAUAAUGGAGGCUGCAUGCAUUCUGAUAAGGGUCCAUGGAAGGAUCCAGAUAU